rnacentral:rRNA from 1 species
UACGUAGGGGGCAAGCGUUGUCCGGAUUUAUUGGGCGUAAAGAGCGUGUAGGCGGCCAGGUAGGUCUGCUGUGAAAACUCGAGGCUUAACCUCGAGCUGUCGGCGGAAACCAUCUGGCUAGAGUCCGGAAGAGGAGAGUGGAAUUCCUGGUGUAGCGGUGAAAUGCGCAGAUAUCAGGAAGAACACCAAUGGCGAAAGCAGCUCUCUGGGACGGUACUGACGCUGAGACGCGAAAGCGUGGGGAGCGAACAGG